GCGAUAAUAGCUCAGUUGGGAGAGCGUCAGACUGAAGUCUUCAUUAUCCGGGGUGUCAUCUGAAGGUCACCCGUUCAAUCCGGGUUUGUCGCA